rnacentral:ncRNA from 1 species
UCGGCAUCGCAGCGGCGGACGUGCUAUAGCAGCUGUGGCUGUAGCCACGAUCUUCGCGUGGUUGCUGUCAAAAAAAAAAGAAAAAUAGAGAAGAACGCUCCGCUUCUGUCCUGUGUGAUUUAGAGGUCGCUUCCGAUCGGGCGCUCUCCAAGGGGCAGUGUUACCAGGGGAAAUAAAAACGUGCUGCCUCUUCAAUUGUGGUGGGCGCAUUCACGACGUGUGUCGCAUUUUGAAUUUCUGGGAGGAUUGACAGAUUGAGAGCUCUUUCUUGAUUCGGUGGAUGGUGGUGCAUGUCCGUUCUUAGUUGCUGGAGUGAUUCGUCCGGUUAAUUCUGAUAACGAACGAGACUCCAGCCUAAUAAAUAUGUGCGUGGUUCUCUGCACCUCGCACCCUUCCUAGAGAGACAGGAGGCUCCUAACCGCACGAAACAGAGCAAUAACAGGUAUUUUAUGUCCUUAGAUGUCCGGGGCCGCACGCGCGCUACGCUAAAGGAAACAGCGUGUUUUCACCCCUGUCAGUUAAGAGAGUAAGCAUAGAAAACGUGGCUUGAGAAAAAAAACAGGAGUAAUUGAAGUCCACGGAUUACCCC